UCAAUUUAUCUUGUCAAACUCUAACUGGACUGGAUUUCCUCCAACUGCGGAACGGCUGCGGAUUGGCUACGCUGCGUGUCGGCUCUGUGCUCCACCGUCCUUUGAUAUGCACCAGGUCGGAUUUGUUGCGGAACGGCUGCAGCCAUGA